UUUUAGGGAUCUUCGACUAGGUUCUGUCACGUCCUGUGACGAACGUGGAAGUCACCCACAUCCUGUGGU
rfam:Bacilli bacterium VT-13-104 contig029, whole genome shotgun sequence.